rnacentral:lncRNA from 1 species
CAACAAAGUGUUAGAGUGUCUUUGGCAGAUCAGGGCCAAGGAAUGCCUUAAAGAUCACAUCAUGCAACGGAUUUAUGUGGGAGAGGGGGCUGGCUCUGUGUAGGGACAUGAGAGAAAAAGACAGGUGGGAGGUGGUAGCAGGGCUUUCUGAAGGGUACACAGCUCAUGGAAAUGUGUAGAAUUUGGCUGGUGAUGAUGUGGCUGCUGGCACUGAGUCGCUGAAGGCAGAUUGGGGGUGAAACUGGUUCUGGAAUGUGGGUAGUUCCUAACACAAUACCUUUUGCCAAAGUGGGGGUUCUGCCUAACCAUUUUACAGGGAACCUGCUUCCUUCCAAGAAACUGCUCUCUACGGCUGCUUAGCUGCAGUGCUCUGCUUCAGACCCGGGAGUGAUUCAGGCCACUCCUGUCUAGGACAGAGGUGCCUACACAGCCCCUCAGAGGCCAAGGCUAGGAGCAGAGACAUGAGCUAGCUUACACAAGGACUCUGGAGGAUCAAGUCUAAGGAAAGGAAGUCACCGUUCCACACUGCAAAUUGCAAUGUGUCCUGCCAGUCUCCUGUUUCUUGCCCCACCUAGCCUGUGGCUUGACUUCCUGGGUCACACAAGUGACAUUCAGGAGUGGUUGUAUUACCCAAGAAAGUCUCCUGAUCCCCCACAGCCUAUCUCCCCACUCCUUGGAAGGAUCUGGCCUUUCAGGGCAGCUGCCGGUGAGGUUUCCACUUGGACAGACAUGGCAGACCAGGACAGGACCAUCCUCUUCAGACUGGGAUACUGACUCUGGGCAGCAUAAAUGUCCCUCAAAGAAGCAAGCAGGCUAGAGAUCGGAAACAGAGGUGACUGGGAGAGGAACUUGUGAAGGACAUCAUGACUCUCUGGGUCAGUGAUGCAGGUGGGGUCUGGGUCCACCUCAGGUGGGUAACAGCAGCUGAAAGGCUGUCCCCAGGAGCAGCACAGACAACUGGAGUGUCCUGACCAGCACUUUGGGGGCAAGACCUGGACAGGAAAAAAGUGAACAUAUUUUUACAUAUUUUUGUUUUGUUUUGUUUGUUUUGAAACAAGGUCUCUCUCUGGCUGUACUGGAAUUCACUGUGUAGACCAGGUUGGCAUUAAAACUCACAGAAAUCUACCUGCCUCUGCCUCUGCCUCUGCCUCUGCCUCUGCCUCUGCCUCUGCAGUGCUGGGAUUAAAAGCAUGCACCCCUGGGGUUGGCGAGAUGGCUCAGCAGGUAAGAGCACUGACUGCUCCUCCGAAGGUCCUGAGUUCAAAUCCCAGCACCAAGGCUCACAACCAUCCGUAGUGAGACUUGGUGCCCUCUUCUGGUGCAUCUGAAGACAGCUACAGUGUAUUUAUUUAUAAUAAUAAAUAAAUCUUUGGGCUGGAGCA